CAGCGGGUGUGGGUCCCGUCCGGGUAGGCGCCCGAGCGCCCGGUAGCAGGCCCCGGUCGGACGGCGAGAGCCGUCCGGCUGAGCGGGGCGUCAGAAGCCUCUUUGGAGGGAGCAAGAACACGGGCCGUAGCGAGC
rfam:Chloroflexi bacterium GWC2_73_18 gwc2_scaffold_7722, whole genome shotgun sequence.